UGGGGAAUAUUGCACAAUGGGCGAAAGCCUGAUGCAGCGACGCCGCGUGAGGGAUGACGGCCUUCGGGUUGUAAACCUCUUUCAGCAGGGAAGAAGCCACAAGUGACGGUACCUGCAGAAGAAGCGCCGGCUAACUACGUGCCAGCAGCCGCGGUAAUACGUAGGGCGCAAGCGUUGUCCGGAAUUAUUGGGCGUAAAGAGCUCGUAGGCGGUUUGUCGCGUCUGCUGUGAAAGCCCGGGGCUUAACCCCGGGUGUGCAGUGGGUACGGGCAGACUAGAGUGCAGUAGGGGAGACUGGAAUUCCUGGUGUAGCGGUGGAAUGCGCAGAUAUCAGGAGGAACACCGAUGGCGAAGGCAGGUCUCUGGGCUGUUACUGACGCUGAGGAGCGAAAGCAUGGGGAGCGAACA
rnacentral:rRNA from 1 species